rnacentral:rRNA from 1 species
CCUACGGGGGGCAGCAGUGGGGAAUAUUGGACAAUGGGGGCAACCCUGAUCCAGCCAUGCCGCGUGUGUGAAGAAGGCCCUCGGGUUGUAAAGCACUUUCAGUGAGGAAGAACGCCUGGUGGUUAAUACCCAUCAGGAAAGACAUCACUCACAGAAGAAGCACCGGCUAACUCCGUGCCAGCAGCCGCGGUAAUACGGAGGGUGCGAGCGUUAAUCGGAAUUACUGGGCGUAAAGCGCGCGUAGGUGGCUUGAUAAGCCGGUUGUGAAAGCCCCGGGCUCAACCUGGGAACGGCAUCCGGAACUGUCAAGCUAGAGUGCAGGAGAGGAAGGUAGAAUUCCCGGUGUAGCGGUGAAAUGCGUAGAGAUCGGGAGGAAUACCAGUGGCGAAGGCGGUCUUCUGGACUGACACUGACACUGAGGUGCGAAAGCGUGGGUAGCAAACAGGAUUAGAUACCCUAGUAGUC